GACGAACGCUGGCGGCGUGCUUAACACAUGCAAGUCGAACGGUGAAGGGACCAGCUUGCUGGUUCUGGAUGAGCGGCGAACGGGUGAGUAACACGUGAGUAACCUGCCCCCUUCUUCUGGAUAACCGCAUGAAAGUGUGGCUAAUACGGGAUAUUCUGGGUCUGUCGCAUGGCGGGCCCGGGAAAGAUAUUGCUUCGGUGGGGGAUGGGCUCGCGGCCUAUCAGCUUGUUGGUGGGGUGAUGGCCUACCAAGGCGGUGACGGGUAGCCGGCCUGAGAGGGUGGACGGUCACACUGGGACUGAGACACGGCCCAGACUCCUACGGGAGGCAGCAGUGGGGAAUAUUGCACAAUGGGCGCAAGCCUGAUGCAGCGACGCCGCGUGAGGGAUGGAGGCCUUCGGGUUGUAAACCUCUUUCGCCAGUGAAGCAGGCCUGCACCUUGUGGGUGGGUUGACGGUAGCUGGAUAAGAAGCGCCGGCUAACUACGUG
rnacentral:rRNA from 1 species